rnacentral:rRNA from 1 species
UGGGGAAUUUUGGACAAUGGGGGAAACCCGUGAUCCAGCCAUCCCGCGUGUGCGAUGAAGGCCUUCGGGUUGUAAAGCACUUUUGGCAGGAAAGAAACGUCGCGGGUUAAUACCCCGCGAAACUGACGGUACCUGCAGAAUAAGCACCGGCUAACUACGUGCCAGCAGCCGCGGUAAUACGUAGGGUGCAAGCGUUAAUCGGAAUUACUGGGCGUAAAGCGUGCGCAGGCGGUUCGGAAAGAAAGAUGUGAAAUCCCAGAGCUUAACUUUGGAACUGCAUUUUUAACUACCGGGCUAGAGUGUGUCAGAGGGAGGUGGAAUUCCGCGUGUAGCAGUGAAAUGCGUAGAUAUGCGGAGGAACACCGAUGGCGAAGGCAGCCUCCUGGGAUAACACUGACGCUCAUGCACGAAAGCGUGGGGAGCAAACAGGAUUAGAUACCCUGGUAGUCCACGCCCUAAACGAUGUCAACUAGCUGUUGGGGCCUUCGGGCCUUGGUAGCGCAGCUAACGCGUGAAGUUGACCGCCUGGGGAGUACGGUCGCAAGAUUAAAACUUAAAUGAAUUGACGGGGGUCAUAGCGUG